GCGGCCUCCGUCAGCAUCUGCAUCCGCCGCUCCUGGUACUCCUCCAGGCCUCGCCAGAGCUCCACACGCUCCCGCUCACGCUUCAUCUCCCUGGAAAGGGAAAAGGGGACAAACUGAGACCACCUCGAACCAGGACCAGGGAGGCAGUGAGGUCAUCAAACAGUUUGCUGUUCAUCUCCAUGAAGGUCUUCAGCACGUUGUAGAUCAGAGACACAAUAGUCCUGCAGAGAAACAGAUGAAAUGAGACUUCACUUGUGUAUGCACACGGAGGCUUAACUGAAGAGAAGAACAUGAGUUUUCUCAGGAGAAACAUUAAAAAUAAUUAAAGAGACUUGAUUAUAAAUUGCAUUAAAAAAGUAGAUUUGUUUUAGUAUAUUUUAAUUGAAUUCUUUUAUUUCUUUGUCUUAGUUUUUUGUAUAGUUCAUCUGCUCUUUUUACGUAUGAUUUUACAUCACGUUAACAUUUUUACAGGUGUUUUCAUGUUUUUAUCAUGUACAGGUGUGUUUGUGGUGGGAUUUAUCUUGUAACUUCUGCAUGAAAGUAUUAGGAAUAAACUUGGUCGAUUAGUUUUCCCAUCA